UACGUAGGGGGCAAGCGUUGUCCGGAUUUAUUGGGCGUAAAGAGCGUGUAGGCGGCCAGGUAGGUCAGCUGUGAAAACUCGAGGCUCAACCUCGAGACGCCGGUUGAAACCAUCUGGCUAGAGUCCGGAAGAGGAGAGUGGAAUUCCUGGUGUAGCGGUGAAAUGCGCAGAUAUCAGGAAGAACGCCCGUGGCUAAGGCGGCUCUCUAGUACGGUACUGACGCUGAGACGCGAAAGCGUGGGGAGCGAUCCGG
rnacentral:rRNA from 1 species